rnacentral:rRNA from 1 species
AUUGAACGCUGGCGGCAGGCCUAACACAUGCAAGUCGAGCGGAUGAAGGGAGCUUGCUCCUGGAUUCAGCGGCGGACGGGUGAGUAAUGCCUAGGAAUCUGCCUGGUAGUGGGGGAUAACGUCCGGAAACGGGCGCUAAUACCGCAUACGUCCUGAGGGAGAAAGUGGGGGAUCUUCGGACCUCACGCUAUCAGAUGAGCCUAGGUCGGAUUAGCUAGUUGGUGGGGUAAAGGCCUACCAAGGCGACGAUCCGUAACUGGUCUGAGAGGAUGAUCAGUCACACUGGAACUGAGACACGGUCCAGACUCCUACGGGAGGCAGCAGUGGGGAAUAUUCGACAAUGGGCGAAAGCCUGAUCCAGCCAUGCCGCGUGUGUGAAGAAGGUCUUCGGAUUGUAAAGCUCUUUUAGUUGGGAGGAACGUCAGUAAGUUAAUCCCUUGCUGUUUUGACGUUACCUACAGAAUAAGCACCGGCUAACUUCGUG